GCAUAUCAAUAAGCGGAGGAAAAGAAACCAACAGGGAUUGCCCCAGUAACGGCGAGUGAAGCGGCAACAGCUCAAAUUUGAAAUCUGGCCCCAGGCCCGAGUUGUAAUUUGCAGAGGAUGCUUUUGGCGCGGUGCCUUCCGAGUUCCCUGGAACGGGACGCCAUAGAGGGUGAGAGCCCCGUACGGUUGGACACCAAGCCUUUGUAAAGCUCCUUCGACGAGUCGAGUAGUUUGGGAAUGCUGCUCAAAAUGGGAGGUAUAUUUCUUCUAAAGCUAAAUAUUGGCCAGAGACCGAUAGCGCACAAGUAGAGUGAUCGAAAGAUGAAAAGCACUUUGAAAAGAGGGUUAAACAGCACGUGAAAUUGUUAAAAGGGAAGCGCUUGUGACCAGACUUGCGCCCGGUGAAUCACCCAGCUCUCGCGGCUGGGGCACUUCGCCGGCACAGGCCAGCAUCAGCUCGCUGUCGGGGACAAAAGCUUCGGGAACGUAGCUCUCUUCGGGGAGUGUUAUAGCCCGUUGCAUAAUACCCUUCGGUGGGCUGAGGUACGCGUUCGCAAGGAUGCUGGCGUAAUGGUCAUCAGCGACCCGUCUUGAAACACGGACCAAGGAGUCAACCUUAUGUGCGAGUGUUUGGGUGUUAAACCCCUACGCGUAAUGAAAGUGAACGCAGGUGAGAGCUUCGGCGCAUCAUCGACCGAUCCUGAUGUUCUCGGAUGGAUUUGAGUAAGAGCAUAUAGGGUUGGACCCGAAAGAAGGUGAACUAUGCGUGUAUAGGGUGAAGCCAGAGGAAACUCUGGUGGAGGCUCGCAGCGGUUCUGACGUGCAAAUCGAUCGUCAAAUAUGCGCAUGGGGGCGAAAGACUAUCGAACCUUCUAGUAGCUGGUUCCGCCGAAGUUCCC
rnacentral:rRNA from 1 species